rnacentral:lncRNA from 1 species
AAAACACCCAGAGCAGCGCCAGGGUCAAAGUGCCAUGCUGGUGCCCAGGCUGCUCUUAGCUGAGGACUGCUAGGGCUUAGGUUUGAGUUUGUCUCUGAGAGUACAUGUGUUGGGAACUUGAUCUUCAGUGUGGUAGCGCUGGCAAGUGGUGGUUCCCUUAAGAGGUUAACUAAGGUAAGUAGAUCACCUUGAACACUGUCCUGGGUGGGAAUUGCACAGUCAAGUCAGUUGUUCUCAAAUGGGUGUCAAGGCAUCUUUUCAUGUGACCAACACUCAUUUUGUACAUCCUCCUAGGAGAACUGUCUAUUCAGUCCCAUCAUUCACUUUGCCAUUGGGCUGUCUGUUAAUUGUAGAUCUUCACAUACUCUAGAUGGAAAUCCCCUAUCCGAUAAAUGAUUUGCCAAAUUUCUGUCCCAUUCCGUAGGCUGCCAUUUCAGCUUUCCUGUGGUCCUCUAAGCACAAAGGGCUUUAAUCCUGAUGAUAUCCUCUUUGUUUACUUUUCUCUUGUCAGUUGUGCUUUGAUGCCACU